rnacentral:rRNA from 1 species
UACGUAGGUGGCAAGCGUUGUCCGGAAUUACUGGGCGUAAAGCGUGCGCAGGCGGUUUUGUAAGCCAGAUGUGAAAGCCCCGGGCUUAACCUGGGAAUGGCAUUUGGGACUGCAAGGCUGGAGUGUGGCAGAGGAGACUGGAAUUCCUGGUGUAGCGGUGAAAUGCGCAGAUAUCAGGAGGAACACCGGUGGCGAAGGCGGGUCUCUGGGCCGAUACUGACGCUGAGGAGCGAAAGCGUGGGGAGCGAACAGG